rnacentral:lncRNA from 1 species
GGGAGGGAGGGAGGAGGGGGAGGGAGCCCCAGCGCCGGAGGCCAGGAGGAGGCGGAGGCAGCGGACGAGCGGCCCAGCCGUGUUUACAUCGCCGCCGCCCCGGCCUAGGCGGCGGGGAAAGGGAACGGGGCCGAACCGUGCCGCCCCCGGGCCGCCCCGGCGAAGUUGUGCGGCCGCGGCCCAAAGUUGCGCUAAUUGUGGCACCGCGCCGCCACCGCCGGCACCUACACCCCCCCCUCCCCGCCCCGCCCCGCCCCGGCCCACGCGGCCAAUCGCCGCCUCCGCGGCGCUGCACGUGACCUUUGUUGACUUACGUCAGUCAUAGCGCUCCGCCGCCGCCGCCGCGAUACGGAUCGGUGGCCGCUCGCCGCCAGCCCCCCUCGCCUCAUUGGCUGGCGGCUGCGGGAGGGGGCGGGCCCGCGGGUAUCUGCGGCUCGCGAGAGGGCGAGCGGGCUGUCAAUCAGAGGAGUGCACCUUUAAAAGCGGAGGACGAGGAGGAGGGGGCUUUCGGGAGCGAGGCGGGAGGAGUUGCGUAACGGGGGCACCGGGCUGGGGGCGCGCACGGCGCGGAGGGAGCGGCCGGAGCGGCCCUCGCUAUCGCCCCGGGGCCCCGCUAACGCCUGAGGGGUGGGGGCCGCACCGUGCUGCGCUCUCGCUCUCGUUUGGCUCGGCGGCGGGGCGUGGCCGCCUUGGCACAGGCGGCCGGUAAUGGCUUCCCGGAGCGGGGAGCGGGCACGGCGCUGCCUCCGGGCGGCAGCGGGCAGAGGAAGGGCGCCUCAGCCCGGCCGCGGCCGCCCCCCGUGGCGCGGCGGGGCGGGGACUCUUCCCCUGCCGCCCCUUCCCGCCGGUUGGGGAGGGACAGAGGGGUGGCGGCCGUUGGUCGGCCGCCGCCCCGCCAACGGACGAGCGCGUGGCGAGGCGUGCAGCGCGCGCGGACGGCGGGGGGCGGGGCCUGGGGGGGGCGGUGGCUCUGCUUCGCGCCGCCCCUCCGCGGGCCUCCGUGACAGGUGGAGCGGCGCCCGCCGGCCGUCACGUGACGGGGGGGGGGGUGCGCCGCCCGUUGGGCUUCCUCCCCUCAGAGGAGGGCCUGCCCGUUUAACGGCUGCCCGCCGUGCUUCGGCACGGCUAUCAGCUGCCCUCCGGAACUGGGUCAAUAAGGUGUACCAGUUCCCUGGGAGGACAGUGACAAGACAGCAGCAAUCUCAGAUGUGUGUGGCAGGGUAUGCAUGGUGAAAAACAGCGAGGAGAGAAAGAAAGCUAACCAGAAGAAGCCUCAAGAUGCCAUUUUGUGUCUUAUAAAAUAUAAAUCCAACACUCAUGUUAUUGCUACCUUGCCAGAUUUUAGUCGAGCUGCCUGAAAUAUGUGACUACUGGGCAUAUGAGGGAAAGCAGCAUAAACUGAUAUGACCUGACAAUAGGUUAGUCAGGGGAGAAGACAGUCUCUUUUAUUUACCCUUCCAUAUUCAUUAGUAGGUUUUUUUGGUAUCUUUUUUCUUAGCUGCUUUUUACUUCACUCACCCCAGUGUAAAGUCAGGCCAAGCUGUUAGACUCAAGUUACUAAAUUACAUUCUUGAAAUCAGGAAUAUAAAAUAAAAUAAAAUAAAAAUAAAAUUAAAAAAAAAAA